GACGAACGCUGGCGGCGUGCUUAACACAUGCAAGUCGAACGGUGAACUCCGCUUUGGGGGGUAUCAGUGUCGAACAGGGGAGUAACACGUGGGCAACAUGCCCUCAGCUCUGUGAGAACUCCAAGGAAUAGUGGCUAAUACCGUGGAUGACCGCUUACCGCAGGGGCUGGUGGGGGAAAGAUUUAUCGGCUGGGGAUUGACCAGCGGCCUAUCAGCUUGGUGGUGGGGUAGUGGACUACCAAGGCGACGACGGGGAGCCGGCCUGAGGGGGUUAGCGGCCUUACUGCGACUGAGCCACGGCGAAGACUACUAGGGGCGGCAGUAGUGGGGAAUAUUGCGCAAUGGGAGACAGCAUGCCGCAGCGACGCCGCGUGGGGGAUGACGGCCUUCGGGUUGUCACCUUCUUUCCGCAGCGAAGAAGCGAAAGUGACGGUACCUGCAGAAGAAGCACCGGCUAACUACGUG
rnacentral:rRNA from 1 species